UACGGGGGGGGCAAGCGUUGUUCGGAAUUACUGGGCGUAAAGGGCGCGUAGGCGGUUCGAUAAGUCAGCUGUGAAAACCAUGGGCUUAACUCAUGGCCUGCAGUUGAGACUGUCGGGCUGGAGUGUGGGAGAGGAGAGUGGAAUUCCUGGUGUAGCGGUGAAAUGCGUAGAUAUCAGGAGGAACACCGGUGGCGAAGGCGGAUCUCUGGGCCUUACCUGACGCUGAGGCGCGAAAGCUAGGGGAGCGAACAGG
rnacentral:rRNA from 1 species